AUUGAACGCUGGCGGCAGGCCUAACACAUGCAAGUCGAGCGGAUGAAUGGAGCUUGCUCCUGGAUUCAGCGGCGGACGGGUGAGUAAUGCCUAGGAAUCUGCCUGGUAGUGGGGGAUAACGUCCGGAAACGGGCGCUAAUACCGCAUACGUCCUGAGGGAGAAAGUGGGGGAUCUUCGGACCUCACGCUAUCAGAUGAGCCUAGGUCGGAUUAGCUAGUUGGUGGGGUAAAGGCCUACCAAGGCGACGAUCCGUAACUGGUCUGAGAGGAUGAUCAGUCACACUGGAACUGAGACACGGUCCAGACUCCUACGGGAGGCAGCAGUGGGGAAUAUUGGACGAUGGGCGAAAGCCUGAUCCAGCCAUGCCGCGUGUGUGAAGAAGGUCUUCGGAUUGUAAAGCACUUUAAGUUGGGAGGAAGGGCAGUAAGUUAAUACCUUGCUGUUUUGACGUUACCAACAGAAUAAGCACCGGCUAACUUCGUG
rnacentral:rRNA from 1 species